rnacentral:rRNA from 1 species
GUAAGUUUAAGUUUACUUAACGCAUACAGUGGAUGCCUUGGCUUAGAUUACCGAAGAAGGACGUGCAAGACUGCGAUAAGCGUCGGCUAGCUGUCACGAAGCGUUUAACCGGCGAUGUCCGAAUGGGGAAACCCGGCUAGGCUUAUACCUAGUCACUUCAAAGUGAAAGUUCUGAUUUAUCAGGAUAUAGCUUUGAAAGAGGGAACCGUCCGAACUGAAACAUCUUAGUAGGACGAGGAAGAGAAAUCAAUGAGAUUCCGUUAGUAGCGGCGAGCGAAAUCGGAACAGCCCAAACCAUCUGGUUUCCUUUGGGAAAUUGGAUGGGGUUGUGGGACCCAACGUGGUAGCUCAAACGAUAGUAGAACAGUGUGGAAUAAUUGACCAUAGAACGUGAUAGUCGUGUAUACGAAAUCUUUUGAGCGCCUAGGGAAAUCCCAAGUACCUUGGUGUAAAUACUCUGAGGGAAUCCGGGGGAACCAUCCUCCAAGGCUAAAUAUAAUCUAAGACCGAUAGUGAACUAGUACCGAGAGGGAAAGGUGAAAAGAAGGGCGGGACGCCCAGUGAAAUAGAACCUGAAACUGUAUGCGGACAAACCGAUAGAGCUUUGUGCUUGCACAGGGUGAUAUCGUGCCUAUUGAAGAAUGAGCCAGCGAGUUGUCUUAUAGUGCUUAGUUUAAGCCCUACGGGGUGUAGACGCAGGGAAACCGAGUUUUAAAAAGCGAAUUUGUACUAUGAGGCAGACCCGAAACCAGGCGAGCUAUCCAUGAGCAGGGUGAAUCCCGCGUAACAGCGGGUGGAGGCCCGAACCCGUACCAGAUGCAAUUGGUUGGGAUGACUUGUGGAUCGGAGUAAUAUGCUAAUCGUGCUUGGAGAUAGCUGGUUCUCCCCGAAAGGUGUUUAGGCACCGUGGUCGUGGAAAAUUAUGAGGUGGUAGAGCUACUGAAUGGGGCAGCGAGGGCAACUGAGUUGUCUCAACCAAACUCCGAAUAACUCAUAAUCUGCGCGGCUAGACAGCCACAUGGGGCUAAGCUCAUGUGACAAAAGGGAAACAACCCAGACUCUCGGCUAAGGUCUCUAAAUCUUGACUAAGUUUGAAAGGAAGUCACAUCUCUCAGACAGCUAGGAGGUUGGCUUAGAAGCAGCCAUCCUUUAAAGAAAGCGUAACAGCUCACUAGUCGACCGAUAUGUGGCGCCGAAGAUGUACCGAGGAUUAAGUCAAGUACCGAAGCUGGAGAUGGUCAAAGUUUCGCUCUGCACCUGGAUUGAAAACCGUGUAGUGGGGAACACUGCAUGGGUGGCGUUUCGCCUGUAUCCAAGUGUGCAGUGAGGCUUUGACCGUGGUAGGGGAGCGUUCUAAGGGCUUUGAAGCUAUUCGUGUAAACGGUGGUGGAGCGCUUAGAAGUGAGAAUGCUGGCAUAAGUAACUUACAAGUCCGGUGAGAAUCCGGACCGCCGAAUGCUCAAGGAUUCCCUGGUGAAGAUCGUCUUCCAGGGGUUAGUCGGCUCCUAAGGCGAGGCCAUAAAGGCGUAGUCGAUGGAUAACGGGUUAAUAUUCCCGUACUUGUUUAGUUUUGUUUGUACUCGCAAGAGUCGUGCGCGCAAGCGCAGAGCUGGGGAUUGACUGGGUUGGAGAUUAUGAAGCCAGUUCGCGAAGUCUGGUGUAAGUUGUUAGAUAGUUCGUAUAGGGAAAUCCGUACGAAUGAUUAAUCGAGCAAUUAUGCAGAGUCUGGUUAACGCCGGGCGAUUUCAUAUAUUCAACCUACGAGAAAAGGUUCGCAGUUAGAAACUAAUCAAGCCGUACCAAAACCAACACAGGUGAGCAGGUCGAGUAGACCAAGGCGAGCGAGAGAAAGAGGCUUAAGGAACUCGGCAAGAAAACUACCCGUAACUUCGGGAGAUGGGUUUCCUCCAUUGCUAUUUUAAUGGGGGACGCAGCGAAAGUUUGCUAAUCGACUGUUUAUCAAAAACACAGGUCCGUGCAAAAUCGUAAGAUGACGUAUACGGGCUGACGCCUGCCCAGUGCCGGUAAGUUAAACGGAGGGGUGUUUGAUCUUCGGAUCAUAUGCUCUGAUGCGAAGCUCCGGUAAACGGCAGCAGUAACUAUAACUGUUCUACGGUAGCGAAAUUCCUUGUCACUUAAUUGGUGACCCGCACGAAAGGCGUAACGAGUUAGCAACUGUCUCGAGCCUCUACUCGGUGAAUUUGCGAUGGCUGUGAAGACGCGGCCUACUUCCACCAGGACAAGAAGACCCCGUGAAGCUUUACUACAGCUUAACAUUGAUAUGUGCAUUUUAAGUGCCUAGUGUAGGAGGGAGCCUUCGGGCGCCAAUGUAACACCUCUCUUUGAGAUGUGGCAUAUCUUACUUACCCCGCCUGGACGGCGGGAGGAACAGUGUUAGGUAGGUAGUUUGUCUGGGGCGGAUCCCUGCCAAAGAGUAACGCAGGGGUACAAAGGUUGGCUUGGCACGGAUGGACAUCGUGCUGAAAGUACAAAGGCAGAAGCCAGCUUAACUGCGAGACUGACGGGUCAAGCAGAUGCGAAAGCAGGUCUUAGUGAUCCUCCGAUCCACCAUGGGUGUGGACGGAGCUUAACGGAUAAAAGCUACUCCGGGGAUAACAGAGUAGUCGCACCCGAGCGUCCAUAGCGACGGUGCGGUUCGCUACCUCGAUGUCGGCUCAGGGUAUCCUGGGGCUGGAGAAGGUCCCAAGGGUUGGUCUGUUCGCCCAUUAAAACCCUACGUGAGCUGGGUUCAAACCGUCGUGAGACAGGUUGGACUGUAUCCGGUGGGAGCGUAAGAAUCUUGAGAAGAGCUCUCCUCAGUACGAGAGGACCAGGAGGGGGGAAUCCCUAGUGUGCCGGUUGUCAUGUCAGUGGCAAAGCCGGGUAGCUACAUUCCUCGCGGAUAACCGCUGAAAGCAUCUUAAGCGGGAAGCCCACUUCAAGAUGAGGAUUCUUUUUAGACUCAUGGAAGAAUACCAUGUAUAUCGUCAGGCAGUGGAAGUCGUGUAAGCGAUUAAGCUAACCUUGUACGAAUUAGUCGA